GCGAGACAGCUGCCCCGGCCGCCGGGCGUGACCGAUAAACUGGUCGACGGUACGUACCGAGCGCAGCUCUCGGCCGUGCCACCCAUGAUCAGCCAGCAGCCGCUGCAACCCCAGGGAG
rnacentral:sRNA from 1 species